rnacentral:tRNA from 1 species
UGGCUUAAUGGUUAAGCGUUUGGCUACUAACCAGAAGUUCAGUGGUUCAAGCCCACC